GUGGGGCAACUGGGAAGGGGAAAAGAAGGGCACCCCAGCCCCGAGUAGAGAGGGGAGUCCUGGGCCACCCUGACGCUGCCUGAGGAGUAGGGGGCAGCCGCAGAGGCAGCACCUGGGCAUCUGCAGGAGGACAUCGGCUGGGCUCGGCCACCAGCUCUCUGGGGCAGAUGGACUCGGGGCUGCGUGCAUGAAGGUCUUAGCAUCUCCCUCUCCUGUGGUCUGUGGCAUCCCCGUGUGCUCCCUUCCGCCAUCCAUUCAGCUGAAGCUGGAGAAGAGACUCAGCCUCAACCCUCCCUCACCUGCACUGGACCAUGCACUGUAGCUGCUUGGCCGAGGGCAUCCCGG
rnacentral:lncRNA from 1 species